GGACACUACAGCACCCUACAGGACCCUACAGGACACUACAGGACACGUCAGGACCCUACAGGACCCUACAGGACACUACAGGACCCUACAGGACCCUACAGGACACUACAGGACACUACAGGACCCUACAGGACCCUACAGGACACUACAGCACCCUACAGGACACUACAGGACAGUACAGGACACUACAGGACCCUACAGGACCCUACAGGACACUACAGGACCCUACAGGACACUACAGGACCCUGCAGGAUGCAGAGGACACGGUUUAAAGAUUUUAUUGAACAAAGAAGUUCUAAAGUCUUCUUGUGUUUGUUUUUUUGUUUUUUACCUUUAUCAAAUAAAAAUGUGUCGUUUAUUUUCCAUUUCACAGAAACAAAUGAUGAGACUAUAAACAUCUCAAGCUCAUUUUGGACAUACAAACCUUUUUUGUCUUCAAAUAAUCAAAACAUUUCUCUUUCAGGAGGGAACUUGAGUUUGUGCUUGUCUGCAGGAUGGAGCCUCUCUCUGCGCUGACUCUGCUGGGUUCAGUUUAUUAAAGUGUGUCGUCAGGUUCCCCCAGCGUCAGAGCGCUCUGCAGUCGAUUCAUCUGGUCUGGAGUCGGAGCUGGAUCCUCGUAGUGCAGCCGUAACCAAGACUCCCCUGAAAGUACACAAACCCACAUCAGACCGGCCCAGAACAUCAUCUCCCUCUUCAACAGAUUCAGCCUCACCUUUCCCGACCCUCUGACCCAGCGACACCAGUAGCUCCGCCCCCACGCUGUGAUUGACAGGUUCUCCAGCUUUCGAUCGUCCCGCCCCCAGCUGAUGAAGAACUUGUGCGAGCACCAAACCGUCCACGUCCUUGAUGACGCCUGCAGGACGAACCAGAGAAGGGGGGGCAGGAGUCUUCAGUUCCCUCUGAUGCUGAGACUUCCUCAGGACGCUGUGGUAAUCUGUGUGGGCGGAGCAAAGACUGCGAGCUGUCUCUUUGGCCACGCCCUGUUUUUCUAACAUCGUCUGGAACUUUGUCAAAGCAGCUCCACCAAUCACAGCGUCAGAAAUCUUCGCUCUGCCUUCUGAUAGGUCCGACACCAAGCCGGUCAUCUUCAGUAAAACUCCACCUACAAAACAUCCACAGCAGAGAUACAUGAGAAAUUAACAUUACCAAUAAAUGUUAAAAUAAGAAUGUUCAAUGAUAGAAUGUAAAUGUUAAAUGAUAGA